rnacentral:rRNA from 1 species
UUGACCUCGGAUCAGGUAGGGGGGAGUACCCGCUGAA